AUUGAACGCUGGCGGCAGGCCUAACACAUGCAAGUCGGGCGAGCGGCAGACGGGUGAGUAAUGUAUGGGGAUCUGCCUGAUGGAGGGGGAUAACUACUGGAAACGGUAGCUAAUACCGCAUACCAUCAGAUGAACCCAUAUGGGAUUAGCUUGUAGGUGAGGUAACGGCUCACCAAGGCGACCAUCCCUAGCUGGUCUGAGAGGAUGAUUACGCCAUCUGGGACUGCGCCCCGCCCCCGACUCCUACGAGAGUCGGCAUUGGGGAAUAGUGCACAAUGGGGGCAAGCCGGAUGGAUCCAUGUGGCGUGUAUGAAGAGGGCACUCGGGUUGUAAAGUACUUCCGGUCUGGAGACGUUACCCACAGAAGAAGCACCCGCUAACUCCGUGCCAGCCGCCGCGGUAAUAC
rnacentral:rRNA from 1 species